rnacentral:rRNA from 1 species
AACCCGACUCCAUGAAGCUGGAUUCGCUAGUAAUCGCGCAUCAGCCACGGCGCGGUGAAUACGUUCCCGGGCCUUGUACACACCGCCCGUCAAGCCAUGGAAGCCGGGGGUGCCUGAAGUGCGUGACCGCAAGGAGCGCCCUAGGGUAAACCGGUGACUGGGCUAAGUCGUAACAAGGUACC